rnacentral:rRNA from 1 species
UUUGGAGGCAGCGGCCGAAGGUGGGGGUAGCGAUUGGGGUGAAGUCGUAACAAGGUAGCCGUAGGAGAACCUGCGGCUGGAUCACCUCCUUU